UCACAUCCUAAGCAAAGUGCGACACUUCUCAACCCUUAGAAACAAGGCCUAAAGCGUGUAUUGGCAGCUUCCAUCAUCACUUCUUGCAGUUGGAUCAAAGUUUUCUGCAGUAGGAUCAGUACAUCCUUCAGGAACUGGAACAUUCAUUUGCUGGGCUGCUUUGCCUGCAACAGCAAAAUUUACCCCCAAAAAAAAAAAUGCUUUGUUAUUCUUCAUUUGAUCUCAAUUUAUGCUCUAAAUUUGGUAGAAUGCUAGUAGCAAACCUCCCAUCAAGGCCUCUUAGCUAGGAUCAAGGGGGCUAACCAUAGAAAUUUCCACUCUGAAUAGCAUCUUCAUUAGCUUCACCAAGAGCGGCCUCACUCAAAUACUUGUCAGCCAACUGAACUCUCUUCACAUUCUCUUGCUCUUGCACAAUCAUGUUUCCGUACUCGAGCAGCUUCUCCAUUGUCAUCCUUGGUUGCUCGAAUGUUGGGGCUGCUUCCUUUGAGUUCACAAGGCUCUUGCCAAUGCUUCCAAC
rnacentral:lncRNA from 1 species